AGCAUGCUAAGAUGAGUAUCAAGAAUCUGAGAUGGCUGUGUCUAUUUCAAAGCUUAAGGACGCCAGUACUCUCAAACGUGUUCUGUUGCUCAAUUUUUUUGUGGUGGCUCUACAAUAACUACAUAUUCUACUUUGUAAUAUUUCCGCAGACAGAUGUUUUACCUCAAAGUUUGCCGAUUAUUUGCUUAAAUGGAAUGUUUACGUUUGCUUCUUUGAUGUGCUUGUUAUCGUUUUUCCGAUCGAUAAGAUCAUCACCUGGAGUGUGUUCUAAAGAUUACCGUUUUAUUCUGGAAGAAAAAGAAAGAAGCUACUGCGAUAAGUGUCACAUCUACCGACCUAGAAGAACGCAUCAUUGUCGAGUCUGUGGAGUAUGUAUCCGACAAUUCGACCAUCACUGCUUGUGGAUCAAAAACUGCGUGGGAGAAGACAACAAAUGGAUAUUCUCUCUCCUCAUAUUCUACGCCACAGCUCUCACCGUUUUAAUGUUCUGUGCGCUUAUUUAUUACUACUACGAUCGAUGGGGCAAAUCUGAUGACGACGAAGACGAUGGUUGGGAUGACUGGAACCUUGAAGAGGAAGAAAAGACGUAUUUCAAUUCCUUAAAACAAGUUCCCUUCAUUCUUCUACAGCUACAAUUUGUCACCGGUUUUUCUGUCUGCAUUACCCAAUUUUUCUGCCAAAGAACUCACAUGGUAAGAACUGGUUUAACUGGCUUUCAAGUCGCAAUAAACAAAGACCGCCUACCAAAGGUGAAACCCACGCAAAGCUUGUUCGAUUCUCUCUCGGAACUUUUCGGAACGAGCAAUGUACUUCUGUGGUUACUGGGUCCAGUUAGAAGUUACAAGCCUCGAGUUCAACUGUUCUAUCAUAACGAUGAAAAAUAAUCACUCAUUCUGUAAAAAAAACUUCAUAAAAAAAGCUGCAAUAUGAUAAUUGUAAAUAUUGUUUAUAGAUAAUUUGUUGUUGAUAUUUGUAAAUA